rnacentral:rRNA from 1 species
GAUGAACGCUGGCGGCGUGCCUAAUACAUGCAAGUCGAGCGAACAGACGAGGAGCUUGCUCCUCUGACGUUAGCGGCGGACGGGUGAGUAACACGUGGAUAACCUACCUAUCAGACUGGGAUAACUUCGGGAAACCGGAUCUAAUACCGUAUAAUAUAUUGAACCGCAUGGUUCAAUAGUGAAAGACGGUUUUGCUGUCACUUAUAGAUGGAUCCGCGCCGCAUUAGCUAGUUGGUAAGGUAACGGCUUACCAAGGCAACGAUGCGUAGCCGACCUGAGAGGGUGAUAGGCCACACGGGAACGGAGACACGGUCAAGACGCCUAAGGGAGGCAGCAGUAGGGAAUCGUCCGCAAUGGGCGAAAGCCUGACGGAGCAACGCCGAGUGAGUGAUGAAGGUCUUCGGAUCGGAAAACUCUGUUAUGAGGGAAGAACAAAUGUGUAAGUAAAUAUGCACGUCGUGACGGUACCUAAUCAGAAAGCAACGGCUAACUACGUG